rfam:Ictidomys tridecemlineatus contig103001, whole genome shotgun sequence.
GGGGAUAUAACUCAGUUGGUAGAGUGUUUGCCUCACAUGUACAAUGCCCUGGAUUCAAUCCCAGCACUACCA